AGCGUUGCUAAGGCCGAUGGCGACCGGCGCACGGGUGAGUAACACGUAUCCAACCUGCCGUCUACUCUUGGACAGCCUUCUGAAAGGAAGAUUAAUACAAGAUGGCAUCAUGAGUCCGCAUGUUCACAUGAUUAAAGGUAUUCCGGUAGACGAUGGGGAUGCGUUCCAUUAGAUAGUAGGCGGGGUAACGGCCCACCUAGUCUUCGAUGGAUAGGGGUUCUGAGAGGAAGGUCCCCCACAUUGGAACUGAGACACGGUCCAAACUCCUACGGGAGGCAGCAGUGAGGAAUAUUGGUCAAUGGGCGAGAGCCUGAACCAGCCAAGUAGCGUGAAGGAUGACUGCCCUAUGGGUUGUAAACUUCUUUUAUAAAGGAAUAAAGUCGGGUAUGGAUACCCGUUUGCAUGUACUUUAUGAAUAAGGAUCGGCUAACUCCGUGCCAUCAGCCGCGGUAAUACGGAGGAUCCGAGCGUUAUCCGGAUUUAUUGCGUUUAAAGGGAGCGUAGAUGGAUGUUUAAGUCAGUUGUGAAAGUUUGCGGCUCAACCGUAAAAUUGCAGUUGCUACUGGAUAUCUUGAGUGCAGUUGAGGCAGGCGGAAUUCGUGGUGUAGCGGUGAAAUGCUUAGAUAUCACGAAGAACUCCGAUUGCGAAGGCAGCCUGCUAAGCUGCAACUGACAUUGAGGCUCGAAAGUGUGGGUAUCAAACAGGAUUAGAUACCCUGGUAGUCCACACGGUAAACGAUGAAUACUCGCUGUUUGCGAUAUACAGCAAGCGGCCAAGCGAAAGCGUUAAGUAUUCCACCUGGGGAGUACGCCGGCAACGGUGAAACUCAAAGGAAUUGACGGGGGCCCGCACAAGCGGAGGAACAUGUGGUUUAAUUCGAUGAUACGCGAGGAACCUUACCCGGGCUUAAAUUGCAGAUGAAUUACGGUGAAAGCCGUAAGCCGCAAGGCAUCUGUGAAGGUGCUGCAUGGUUGUCGUCAGCUCGUGCCGUGAGGUGUCGGCUUAAGUGCCAUAACGAGCGCAACCCUUGUUGUCAGUUACUAACAGGUUCCGCUGAGGACUCUGACAAGACUGCCAUCGUAAGAUGUGAGGAAGGUGGGGAUGACGUCAAAUCAGCACGGCCCUUACGUCCGGGGCUACACACGUGUUACAAUGGGGGGUACAGAGGGCCGCUACCACGCGAGUGGAUGCCAAUCCCAAAAACCUCUCUCAGUUCGGACUGGAGUCUGCAACCCGACUCCACGAAGCUGGAUUCGCUAGUAAUCGCGCAUCAGCCACGGCGCGGUGAAUACGUUCCCGGGCCUUGUACACACCGCCC
rnacentral:rRNA from 1 species